rnacentral:rRNA from 1 species
AGAGUUUGAUCAUGGCUCAGAUUGAACGCUGGCGGCAUGACUUAACACAUGCAAGUCGAACGCGAACGGGCUUCGGCCAAGUAGAGUGGCGGACGGGUGAGUAAUGCGUGGAAUCUACCCUCGAGCGGGGGACAACCCGGGGAAACCCGGGCUAAUACCGCAUACGUCCUACGGGAGAAAGCGGGCCUCUACACUAUGCUCGCACUCGAGGAUGAGCCCACGUCCGAUUAGCUAGUUGGUAGGGUAACGGCCUACCAAGGCCACGAUCGGUAGCUGGUCUGAGAGGAUGAUCAGCCACACUGGGACUGAGACACGGCCCAGACUCCUACGGGAGGCAGCAGUGGGGAAUAUUGGACAAUGGGCGCAAGCCUGAUCCAGCAAUGCCGCGUGUGUGAAGAAGGCCUGCGGGUUGUAAAGCACUUUCAGUGGGGAAGAACGGAUACGGGCCAAUACCCCGCAUCACUGACGUUACCCACAGAAGAAGCACCGGCUAACUCCGUG